rnacentral:rRNA from 1 species
UACGUAGGUGGCAAGCGUUGUCCGGAUUUACUGGGCGUAAAGCGUGUGUAGGCGGACCUUUAAGUAGAAAGUGAAAGGUUGGAGCUCAACUCCAACACUGCUCUCUAUACUGGAGGUCUUGAGUGCCGGAGAGGAAGAUGGAACUGCACGUGUAGCGGUGAAAUGCGUUGAUAUGUGCAGGAACACCAAUGGCGAAGGCAAUCUUCUGGACGGAGGAGCGCAAGCUUCUUAAAACUGACGCUGAGACACGAAAGCCAAGGGAGCAAAACAGG